GAAUUUCCUGGGAAUUAUUCAGAGGUUUCAUACUUGAGAAAGGAUUUUGGAGAGAUUUCUUCAAAAAAGAAAAUUGAAAGAAAAAUCGUGUAAAGACUUUUAUUUUUUUCUUCUAUAUUCCAUUGUUCAUUUUUUUCCCUGAUAUCAGAACAGAACAAGCUAUUAUGGAAGCUCGAUUUCAUUUGAUAUCAGUUUAUAUUAGCAUUUCGACAUAUCAGAGUUUUUUUACUUCAAUACUGGUUCUGGGAUAAACUAAGGAAUUCGUCGAGAAGUGUGAAUUCGUUGUUGUCUUUUGAGCUGCGGCUGUUCUACUCUGGUUCUAUGGUGGUUUCAUCACUCAGAAAUCAGAAGUUCAUUUUAUUUUUUCCUUUAAUGUGUUACUCUCAAGGUAUAAUUUCGAUCUUCCGUAUUGAGUAUGUUAGAAAUGUUACAACUUCGAGAAUUCUCAUCUAUGGUAUGUGCAUUGGUUAACGAAUCUCUUUUGUAGUGGCUCGCCAUUUUUGAGUUCAAAUGAUUGCCUACUUUGUUUAAAUGAAUAUCUAUGGU
rnacentral:lncRNA from 1 species